rnacentral:sRNA from 1 species
AAGCGUCGUUCGGACCGCCU